CGAUGUCGUCCCGGCCGGGGCGCGGCGACCCGGGGGCCGGGGGCGCGAGGCGGGCGCGGGAGCCGCCCGAGCAGGAGCUGCAGCGGCACCGGGAGCAGAAGCGGCGGCGACACGACGCGCAGCAGCUGCAGCAGCUCAAGCACCUGGAGUCCUUUUAUGAAAAACCUCCUCCUGGGCUCAUCAAGGAAGAUGAGACUAAGCCGGAAGACUGUAUACCAGAUGUACCAGGCAACGAACAUGCCAGGGAGUUUCUGGCCCACGCGCCAACGAGAGGACUCUGGAUGCCCCUGGGGAAGGAGGUCAAAGUGAUGCAGUGUUGGCGCUGUAAACGGUAUGGUCACCGAACGGGCGACAAAGAAUGCCCUUUCUUUAUCAAAGGCAACCAAAAGUUAGAGCAGUUCAGAGUAGCACAUGAAGAUCCCAUGUAUGACAUCAUACGAGAGAAUAAAAGACAUGAAAAGGAUAUAAGGAUACAACAGUUAAAGCAGCUACUGGAGGAUUCCACCUCCGACGACGACGGGAGCAGCUCCAGUGCCUCAGAAUGUAAGGAGAGACACAAGAAAAGGAAGAAGAAAGAAAAGCAUAAGAAAAAGAAGAAAGAGAAGAAAAAGAAGAAGAAACGAAAGCAUAAGUCUUCCAAAUCAAACGAGAGCUCGGACUCGGACUGACAGGAGCUCGGCUUGGUCAGUGUUCCCAUCUCAACUCAAACACUGUGGACAACGAGCAGAGGACUGUGGGAUCGGAGAGGACCUGAGAGGCCACAGCAAGGAGGAGAUCUGCUGUCACAGGUGUGACUUCUCACCUGCCUUCCAGUGACGGUGUGACCACCAGAGAGGGGUGUGUCUUCCCAGGUGCCAGCUCUGGACAGCGGCCGACGUCCAGCAGGAGAGCUCUUCCCGGUGUCCUGCUGCUGCUGCUCACUGGGGUUGCGAUGCCCUAGCAAUGCCGGGGUGGCCGGACUAAGGGAGCUCCGAGGACACUCCUCCAGGUGCUGCCACCUACACAGCGAGGCUGCUUCAUCCCAGACUUCAGGUUGGCGCUGUAAACGGUAUGGUCACCGAACAGGCGACAAAGAAUGCCCUUUUUUUAUCAAAGGCAACCAAAAGUUAGAGCAGUUCAGAGUAG